rnacentral:rRNA from 1 species
AUUGAACGCUGGCGGCAGGCCUAACACAUGCAAGUCGAGCGGCAGCGGGAAAGUAGCUUGCUACUUUUGCCGGCGAGCGGCGGACGGGUGAGUAAUGCCUGGGAAAUUGCCCAGUCGAGGGGGAUAACAGUUGGAAACGAAUGCUAAUACCGCAUACGCCCUACGGGGGAAAGCAGGGGACCUUCGGGACUUGCGCGAUUGGAUAUGCCCAGGUGGGAUUAGCUAGUUGGUGAGGUAAUGGCGCACCCAGGCGACGAUCCCUAGCUGGUCUGAGAGGAUGAUCAGCCACACUGGAAAUGAGACACGGUCCAGACUCCUACGGGAGGCAGCAGUGGGGAAUAUUGCACAAUGGGGGAAACCCUGAUGCAGCCAUGCCGCGUGUGUGAAGAAGGCCUUCGGGUUGUAAAGCACUUUCAGCGAGGAGGAAAGGUUGAUGCCUAAUACGUAUCAACUGUGACGUUACUCGCAGAAGAAGCACCGGCUAACUCCGUGCCAGCAGCCGCCGUAAAAC